GACCCCGUAGUCUAACGGUUAGGACACGGGCCUUUCAAGCCCGGAAUGCGGGUUCGAUUCCCGUCGGGGUCA
rnacentral:tRNA from 1 species